rnacentral:lncRNA from 1 species
GUGCAAUGUCAUUCUGAUCUCAAGAAGCCCGUAGAUGCAUUCUUGAAGAGAAGAUUUCAACAGGUUUUGAAGAGUGGAAGGUCUUAUUUAGGAUAAUGGAUAAUUAACACUGGAUAUCAGAUGCAGCAUGCAGGCAAUUUAUUUUCUCUGUAUUGGUAUCAAACACACUGGGAGCCUGAUCUGACUCCCAUUAUAUAUGGAUCCAGCAUAAUAACUGCCAUCACUGAAAAGAGAUCCUCCAGAAGAAAUACAUGGAAUUAUUUCAAGUUACUAUUGGUGGACAUUUUGGUAAGUAUAUUUUUGUUGCUAAAUCAAGUUGUUGAUAUCAGGUGGUAGACAAAAAGAGUUUCUAACACCCUAGUGACCAAAGGACAUCUUUCCAUAAAGAAUAAUGACUUAUUCUUUUUUCUCUUUUUUUUUUUUUGAGACAUAGUCUCACUGUGUCACCCAGGCUAGAGUGCGGUGGCACGAUCUGGGCUCACUGCAACUUCAGCCUCUCGGGUUCAAGCAAUUCUCAUGCCUCAGCCUCCAGAGUAGCUGUGAUUACAGGCAUGUGACACCACCGUAGGCUAACUUCUGUAUUUUUUAGUAGAGACAAGGUUUUGCCAUGUUGGCCAGGCUGGUCUCAAACUUCUGGCCUCAAAUGAUCUGCCUGCCUUGGCCUCCCAACAUGGUGGGAUUAUAGACAUAAGCCACUGCACCCAGACAAGAAUAAUGACUUCUGAUAUUUCCUGUUUUGCUAUAAAUAUUAUAAUUUUCUUAGGACUAUU